CCUCUUCCUCCUCCCUUGACGCUAGAGUCUGGAGAAGCUAGGUUUGUCCUGGCUUUUGUAUAGUGUCUCCGCUGGCCCUGUGCCGUUGCAGCUGCAAGCUUCCACAUUGUCCUGUUCCUCUAGUUUGAAUUCGUUGUGCUCUCCUUCGACGUUCAGCCUUUCCAAGUGCGCGUCGGCGUCCUACUCUGGCAGCGAUGGGCGACACUCCACCUCCACGUCACAGAGACAUCUCUCCUGUACGUCACAGAGAUGUCACCCCACCUCCUCGUCACAGACGCAGGUACUCAAGUUCGCCUUCUCCAAGAGAGAGGCUGCUGGAGCGUUCACGGUCACGUAGCCCUCCCCGACGGUUAGUUUCUCCACGUGGCAAGCCUACCAACGAUGCUCUGGAUCGUUCAAGGUCCCGGACGCCUCCUCGUCGGGAAAAGCCUGGGUCUAUCAACGAUGGGCGGGAUCGAUCAAGGUCCCGGACACCUCCUCGUCGAGCCAGAAGAGGUGAACCUGAUGCCUUAAACCCAGGAAAUAACCUGUACGUCACAGGUUUGUCCACACGGGUGAAUGAGAAGGAUCUUCAAGAGCAUUUCUCUCGAGAGGGCAAGGUCUUGGAAUGUCGUUUGGUACUUGACCCUCGCACCCGUGAGUCGCGUGGAUUUGGAUUCGUCACAAUGGAGCAUUUGGAAGAUGCAGAGCGGUGCAUAAAAUAUCUUAACCGCUCCACCCUGGAAGGACGAAUAAUUACCGUGGAGAAGAAUCAAGGCUCCACACCACUUCCGCAGAUUCCCUCCCACUUAGUCCAUUCUGCGGCGACAGUAACGAUCGCAAGAAUCAACCUACUGUUGGAAAUCGGGUCCGUGUUAUCGAUUGGUUCUUGGCAGGAGAUUCUCAACCCAGUAAUGGAGAUUUUGCCAUGUGCCUAGAGUAUCACCUUCUCUUCUUCAGCUGCUGUCCAAGCUGAACUAGAGAUCGACACGUAAUUGCCUAGCUGGUUGGCACAACUCGACCUGCAGUAAUCAAAUAUCGCUAGUCUAAUCUCAACCGAUGGAGAGAUGACACGGCGAAGAGAACGACUCUAAUCAAAUCUCGAUAGGCUUAAACAAUUCAAUGGAGUUUCCGACCCUUGCUAUUUAACCAGAGACGGGCACUAUUUGUCCAUCACGGCUGGCAGGGUGCAAUGAUUUCGAAAGCCAGUAGUCAUAUUCAAUGGAGUGCCUGCAACCAGCAUUGUCGGCUUAUACGAACUUUUGAACCCUUCCAUCCGGGCUACUCCCUACUUCUCCCAAAGAUAAUGUCGAAAUUUUUUCGGCGCCUCCUUUAAGUCUCCGGUUUCUCUUGAAUGUGGGAGCUAUGAGCACGAGUCCAGCUUUGCAGGGACGAUUUUCGUUCCUUUCUGUUGCUCCUUGGGACUACCUGCAUCCGGGCCCCUUUUUGUCCAUCGUCUUUGUCUUCGUGCUUUCGAAAUGGCUGCCAAACGCAAACGAGCGCGCACUCCUACUCCUGGAGAGUAUCUUGGUGUAAGAGCUAUGCAAGCCAAUCGUCGGGGAGGUGGCGGAGGGAGAGGUGGUGGUAGUUAUGGUCGUGAUGGCAGGAACAUACGUCAUUCACCUGAGUAUGCGCCGUAUCAAGGUGGUGGUCGAGAGAGAGACAGAGACAGAGGCAGGUCUCCUCGCUACUCUCCAUAUCGCAGUCAUGGACGAGACCGUUCAGUGUCUCCUCCAUAUGGAUCGUAUCGCCGCUGAUGACAAGGUUUCAACGCUUCGACGGUGUCCGGUAUUGAAGACAAGAGACACGUUGCUUGUCUGUGGGUUCUGUUCAUUUGUUUAACUAUAGGUAGAAGCCGAAAAGUAUUUGCGGUUUGGAUUUUGCAGGUAUUUGUGGUUAGUCUUUUGCCUGUGUAGGUGAUGUUCAGCUUAGUCUGAUUGAGGAAUAUAACGACCUUAGCUAGUCUCUGGAGCUGCAGCAAUGUACUUCAAGAUUUUUGACUGUGAUUGUGUUGUACAAUGGUACAAAAUCAAUCGAAGUGCUGCAAUCGAGUUUUCCAACGUAUCACCGCAAUAGUAGUAGUUUGUUUGGAUAAUCUUUUUCCAUGUAAAUUAUUUAUGCAUGUCACCUCUCCCACGUCAUUGCGGGGACUAGGACGUGGAUGCAACCUUGUUAUAUGUC